ACCUGUGUUCCAGGGAAUGAUUUAACCAACAGGUGGCAAUAGGUUAAGAGGAAUGAUUUAAAGCACUCGCAUGUGAAAUGGAUGGAAUCUGCCUGCGGCACAGGUGAAAGAAUGGAGAUGUACUGAAAGUCUGAACUUCUACUAAAACAAUUGCACAUUCAAACUGUUAAUAAUUUAAUUUGCAGUAGUUUGUGGUGCUGAAUUCCUUUUGGAAUCGGUGGCACAUAUGGAAAAACGGGGUGUAAUGAAGGUC
rnacentral:lncRNA from 1 species